rnacentral:rRNA from 1 species
CAGCCGCCGCGGUAAUACGUAGGUCCCGAGCGUUGUCCGGAUUUAUUGGGCGUAAAGCGAGCGCAGGCGGUUAGAUAAGUCUGAAGUUAAAGGCUGUGGCUUAACCAUAGUACGCUUUGGAAACUGUUUAACUUGAGUGCAAGAGGGGAGAGUGGAAUUCCAUGUGUAGCGGUGAAAUGCGUAGAUAUAUGGAGGAACACCGGUGGCGAAAGCGGCUCUCUGGUCUGUAACUGACGCUGAGGAGCGAAAGCGUGGGGAGCGAACAGGAUUAGAUACCCCCGUAGUCCCUGUCUCUUAUACA